GACGAACGCUGGCGGCGUGCUUAACACAUGCAAGUCGAACGGAAAGGCCCUGCUUUUGUGGGGUGCUCGAGUGGCGAACGGGUGAGUAACACGUGAGUAACCUGCCCUUGACUUUGGGAUAACUUCAGGAAACUGGGGCUAAUACCGGAUAGGAGCUCCUGCUGCAUGGUGGGGGUUGGAAAGUUUCGGCGGUUGGGGAUGGGCUCGCGGCUUAUCAGCUUGUUGGUGGGGUAGUGGCUUACCAAGGCUUUGACGGGUAGCCGGCCUGAGAGGGUGACCGGCCACAUUGGGACUGAGAUACGGCCCAGACUCCUACGGGAGGCAGCAGUGGGGAAUAUUGCACAAUGGGCGGAAGCCUGAUGCAGCAACUCCGCGUGCGGGAUGACGGCCUUCGGGUUGUAAACCGCUUUCGCCUGUGACGAAGCGUGAGUGACGGUAAUGGGUAAAGAAGCACCGGCUAACUACGUG
rnacentral:rRNA from 1 species